GUGAUAGUGAAAUUAAAACUACUUUGAGUAAAUCCUUCUAGAAAAGACUACAUCUAAGACAAAGAAAUAAUGGAAAUGCUCAAAGAGUAGUGCAGAUCUAGGUUCAAAUGAACUGUUGACAAGCUGAAAAGCUUCACAGUGUAAAGGCUAAAUUGCUUUGUACUGUAUUUGUAUCCUUUCAGAAACGUGAUCCAUUUUUGAGGGAGAAGCGAACGCUAUUGCAACUCGAGAGUGAUUUUGCUUUGGCCAUUGUUUGGGAAUCGGAAGCUCUGGCCUCUUAAAGUGUUGCACCUGGAACCUGGAUGAAGUAUUCUGGAUGAGGUCACAUUACUGCAGAAUAAAGGUCAUUUAUGCUGUCUGUCAGUUUGAUAAGUAUUUCCUGCAGCCCUUCCAAUUAGCAGAAGUCUGUUUUGCAAAUGAACAGAACUCCAUCUCAUGCCAUAACAGUCUGACCUUUAAAUAUUUUGCAUCACUUAUCCUUGCCAAUAGACUAGAGAAUCUUCAUCCCUGAUCUGAUCUAACUGAUUGAAGUAUUGAAAACUACUGGGUCUUCAGAAGAGACUCUUGUAGUAUUGAAACCUCCCUGCAAGUUCAUGAUGAACCCUUGGCAAAUACUUGGUUUUCUGAGCAGUUGUAAGUCUACAUCACAUAGAUUUAUACCUAUAAUUGCAUCAAUCUGCCCUGCGGCUUAUUUAAUGACUCUGCAAAUGAAUAUACAGUUGGAAACUUUGGGUCCUGUUACACUGCAGAAUUAAUGCAGCUUGACACUACUAUAAAUGCUAUGGAAUUGCAGGAGUUGUUGUUUUACAGGGCCUUUAAUUUUCUCUGCCAAAAAGUGCUGGUGCAUCACCAAAUUACAAUGAUUUUCUAAAAUCAUUAUAAACUAUAUUCAUGGCAUUCCCACAAUCCACUAUAGUUGUAAUCUCCUUUGGGAGCACAAUUAUAUAUUAAUAAACAUAUUUUAGCCUGGACAUUCACUUGUUUUCUGCAUACCUGGCCAUUUGAUCAAUAGUCAACAAGGAUAAAGAGAAUACAUUAAUUGGAGUGGAUGAAACAUUAAUUUUGUUGGGGAGAUACUCCUACUACACUUCUCACUAUUGCCUAUGCUGGCUGGAGUUGAUUGGAAGUACAAUCCAUCAUCUGGAGCAGUGGUUCUCAACCUGUGGGUCCCCAGAUGUCUUGGCCUUCAAUUCCUAGAAAUCCUAACAGCUGGUAAACUGGUAAACCAUUUAUGUGUUUUAAAUGCAAUUUUUUUAUCCUGUAUUUUUGUUUUAAUUGAUAUAUUGUAUUACUGUUUUAUCUUUUUAUAGUGUGAUUUUUAUUUGUUGCCUAUGUUUUGUUCUAUGUUGUUUGGGCCUCUGCCCCAUGUAAGCCGCCCCGAGUCCCCAUGGGGAGAUGGUGGCAGGGUAUAAAUAAAGUUCUAUUAUUAUUAUUAUUAA